rnacentral:rRNA from 1 species
UACGUAGGGUGCAAGCGUUAAUCGGAAUACUGGGCGUAAAGCGUGCGCAGGCGGUUUUGUAAGUCUGACGUGAAAUCCCCGGGCUCAACCUGGGAAUUGCGUUGGAGACUGCAAGGCUAGAAUCUGGCAGAGGGGGGUAGAAUUCCACGUGUAGCAGUGAAAUGCGUAGAGAUGUGGAGGAACACCGAUGGCGAAGGCAACCCUCCG